rnacentral:lncRNA from 1 species
GGAGAGAGGCGACACUGGUCCUUUUUCGCUGGAAUGGGAGGCGAUGUUGGUCCCUUUUCCAUCAGAAUAAGAGGCGGCGAGGGAGUUUGCUGGAACGCCGAGAUGAUGGAGAGGAGACGCCAUUUAUGGUGGUUCGCAAAGGGUCGUCGGUGGUGUGAAGAAAGGAAAAUAGUGAAAGGGAGAACGAGGCGGGAGAUGACACGAGGAACUAGUUACGUCGGCAAAAAUGUUUGCUGGCCCGAGCUGGUGGAGUGGCCACUUACGAUUGCUGGUUCUGUGAAGGUCGG